rnacentral:rRNA from 1 species
GAUGAACGCUGGCGGCGUGCCUAAUACAUGCAAGUCGAGCGAACAGACGAGGAGCUUGCUCCUCUGACGUUAGCGGCGGACGGGUGAGUAACACAUGGAUAACCUACCUAUAAGACUGGGAUAACUUCGGGAAACCGGAGCUAAUACCGGAUAAUAUAUUGAACCGCAUGGUUCAAUAGUGAAAGACGGUUUUGCUGUCACUUAUAGAUGGAUCCGCGCCGCAUUAGCUAGUUGGUAAGGUAACGGCUUACCAAGGCAACGAUGCGUAGCCGACCUGAGAGGGUGAUCGGCCACACUGGAACUGAGACACGGUCCAGACUCCUACGGGAGGCAGCAGUAGGGAAUCUUCCGCAAUGGGCGAAGGCCUGACGGAGCAACGCCGCGUGAGUGAUGAAGGUCUUCGGAUCGUAAAACUCUGUUAUUAGGGAAGAACAAAUGUGUAAGUAACUAUGCACGUCUUGACGGUACCUAAUCAGAAAGCCACGGCUAACUACGUG